rnacentral:rRNA from 1 species
UUAAACUAGGGAUUAGAUACCCUAUUAUUAAAAUUUAAAUUUAAAAUACUAAAAUAGUAGAUAAUUAUUUAUUGAAACUUAAAUAAUUUGGCGGUAUUUUAGUUCAUUUAGAGGAAUCUGUUUAAUAAUUGAUAAUCCACGAAUAAAUUUACUUAAUUUUUUUUAUUUUGUAUAUCGUUGUUAAAAAAAUAUUUUUCAAUAAAAAUAAUAUUUAAAAAUUUUAAUUAAAAAUUAAAUCAGAUCAAGAUGCAGAUUAUAAUUAAGAAUAUAAUGGAUUACAAUAAAUUUAUUUAAAUGAAUAUUAAUUUGUAAAAUUUAAUUGAAGGUGGAUUUAAAUGUAA